UAGAUCAGUUUAUGCAGUUUUAUUAUUAUACAGUUAAUAGUUAAUAUAUUUUUAUAAUAGUUAAUAUAAUAUAUUUUUAAUAUUAUACAGUUAAUAGUUAAAAUAUAUUAUAUUAUAUAUUAUAUUGUUAAUAGUUGAUGAAAGGUAAUUUUUAGCAGUAUAUAAAUAUAUUCUGUAUCUCGAACAUUAACCCAUUUUCCCGUUUUUCGAGCAUCUCGAUGAAAAUGCCUAAUAGAUGGGAGAAGACUCGAUGUUUCUAAUUAUUUUGUUAAUGAUAAUUUUAUCAAUAACAAAGUUAUUGGUAAACAUUUCUUGACCCAAUAUGAAGAUAAUUUUCUCUUUUUAUUAAUGCAAUUAGCUUUCGAAAUAUCGAUUUCUUUAUUUUUUAAGUUUUAGUUAUGUUUCUGUAAGCAUGAAUAAUUUAAAAUAUUACAGGCACGAACAUAUUUUAGCACAUAAAAUUUCUUCACAUUAUUACAUUAUUGAAAGAUAUUUGCGAAUUUACAAGGACAUAUAUUUUGCAAAUAGUAAAAUCACGGACAUCGAAGAUAUUUUGUCGUUCGAAAUAUGUAUAACUUUCAAUAUUUGGACGAAAUAUCAGAUUCAGAGGAAUAUUGAAACAUUUUAUUUAUCGUGGAUGAUAAGAAUUCUACCCUACGAAGAUUUCAAUUCGAAGAUAGAUGAACAGCCGUCGUAAAAGAGGAAUUGAACCGUGUUUCCGCUGACACGUAGAUUCUGUACGAAAUGUGAUCGAAACCGCGUAAUAAACAAAGGAAAUAUAAUAUAUUGAUUUUAUAUAUUAAUUGUUAAAUACAGAUAUAUGUAUUGUUUUACAGAUUUUAUUAAAUUUCUAAAUAAUAAUCGCAACUUCUCACGAAUAUUUCUAUAAUUUACUAUUAAUUAUAUAAUUAUAAUUUGUUAAUUCUAUAAUGUGUUACAUUAAACGUUUCUUGCAAUUAUUUUUGGGAAACUACCAUAACGCUUCAUGAUACUAUCAGAUAACAAGAAUAAUUAGAAAAUAACGAAGAAUAAUAAAAACUCAACUAGUAUCUACAGUAUGUGCCAGUGAAAAUUAAUUUCUUUUACACUUGUAUUAUAAUUCGAAGAAUUAAAAAAUGGCAAGAAAUAAGCAAAAUAAAUAAACAAAAAUAUAGCUGGAAGAUCUAAAUAAAUUAUAUCCACCUUAAAUAAUGUUAAGAUUGAAAGGGAAGUGUAAAAUGUGUUAAAGAAUCUUACAAAUUUUUAGAUCAUAUAUAUAUACAGGGUGGUUGGUAAAAAAGAAGUUGAAAAUAUAGAAUAAAAAUUUUUUUUUUAAUUUUUCCAUCGAGACGUUAUAACGAGACGUGAUAAAGUGCACGCGUACCGAGCGAAAAUUCAAAGUCGAUUUUCUCGAAAACAAAGCCUCAAACGAAAAAUUUUUAUUCUAUAUUUUCGACUUCUUUUAUCGCGUAGAAUCACCACCUUUCCGCUUGUACCACCAGUUACCAACCACCCUGUAUAUACAGCUAUAACUCUUCUGUAAAUGCAGAAAUACAGAAUUUAUUAUAUAAUUUAAUCUUUUCUUUUUGCGUGUGUAAGUUUAACGUCACAUUGCUUCGCGAGAGACACUCUGUAUUCUAGUAGCAUUGCAUUCGAUAAUUUAAUUGCUUAAAUCCUCUAAACCUUCUAGAUAAUUGCAAAUUUGUAGAGCCUGUAUCGCAUUUUAUUCCGAGAUUUGCAAGCAAUUUCCCAGGCUUUGUUCGUUCGCUUCUAAAUGACUGCAUCGCUUUAACGCGGUUCUCGGUCUUCCUUAGUCUUAUAGCGACGACAAGAAUUGCUCUGGCGCUCUAUGAAAAUCAGUUUUCUUUAAAAGCGAGACGACAAUAGCCGCAGAAGAAAACCAUUAACAACUGAAAGUCGUUCACGGACAAUUGUGCUUUCGAGACAAAGAUAUUCCAUCGAAUUAUGAAAAAAGUAGGAGUUUGAGAAUAAAUACGAUCGGUAAUUGCAUGUCCGUAUAAAGAUAACGAAGGCCAAGAGUAUAAAAUCGACGUAUAAAAUCGAGCUAUGAAAAUCCUAAAUGAAAUUAGAAGAAGCCCUGAUAUAUGUAACUUCUGAAACAGAUGACGAAGUGACGAAAAGAUGACUUGUUGAAGACUACAUCACGCGAUUGUAUCGAUAAAAGUAUUAUUAAAAAGCGAUGGAACUUUAAUAUCUCGAAUGAUUUAUAUUGUACGAUUUUUUUAUAUGUAUUUAUAAUAUUAUAAAUAUUAUACUGUGCUGUUACACGUACGUAUUCCAGAUUAUGAUAUUAGGUUGUCCGAAAAGUUUCUUUCGUUUCAUAAGGUGAUAAUAGAUGAACAACAAUUUCUGUUUUAUAUUAUUUUAUUAGCGACAGAUAUAGCAAAAGAGUCAACAAACACCGAAACCCCCUAAUCACUGGGCUACUUGAUACGACGGACCAGAUUCGCAGGCUGAAGAGGCACUACCCGCUAGACCUAAACGCUAGAUUCAAUUAGUUACCUAAAUUAAGUAAUAUUCACUUAUUUAUAACGCUCACUUAUAAAUUAUACUUAUCUAUAAUAAGUAUUAACUUAUUAUAAAUAAUCAGCCAUGUCACUGCGCCACGCCAAAAAAAUUACUGAAAAUUCUCAACGCGAGAAUUGAUUGUAAUUUUAAUAAAUAAAUAAAUAAAAAAAAAUAUUAUUUUAUUGAAUUAGGUAUGAUCCAUUUCGUUCUAUUUCUAUUAUUAUGUUCGUGCAUAGUUCAAUAAACUAAUAUAAAACAAAAAACAUUGUGCGUCUAUUAUUCCCUUAUAAAACGAAAGAAACUUUUCGGACAACCUAAUACAUUGAUCUGGAUGAACACGGGCUUGCUCGACCAGGCAGGCGUCAUCGAUCUCACGACGAUGGAUAACGCGACGCGACUGUGAGAUUCACGUGACAAAGGCCGAUGCAGGAAGCACGUGGCCCAUCACACGCAUUCGAGUUCGAUAGCUCGGUUGAAUAUGCAACGGCGACGCCUUGCAGUUCGCAUUCUAGAUAGGUCAAUAUUCUUGCAAGCGCUUUGUGCGGCGCGCUUUUCGCUGAUCGUUUAUCUUGUAGCGUAUGGCAUCGCGCUCUAAGCAUCCGCAGAACGAUGAAUAUUAAUCAUCGGCGACGCGUACCGCGGGAUAUCGAUACUGGCAACCUGAUUACUAUUUUUUCCCAAUGAUUUAUCGCAUGCAACGAGAAAUCGGAUAACAACCUUGUUGCAUACUUGCGAUAGCUAUCUCAUAGAUAUAAGAAAGAUCGAUGAUUUAUCGUUUGCAAUUGUUCAGCGUUAAUGGAGCGUGCGAAUAUGUUUCCAAAGCUGGAUAAGUAUUAUUAAUAACUAUUAUUUCCAUACGCUUCAUCAUUCUCGGAAAAGAGUUUAAACAGACAGUUGAACUCUGUUAUGUAGAACCAAUCUUCAAAAUUACGAAAGAUUAGUUAAACACACCUGUUAUCUAAAAAUUUCCAACAUAUACAACGACCCUUAUAUUGUAAAAUUAUUAAAAAUAUCGAGCCUUAGUUCCUUUUUGGUUGUAUAGUUACUUUGCAGGAAGCUUGCAAACCACGUGAUCGCCCAUAAUAAUCGUCCAAUGCUUUUGAAAUGGUAAAUAUUGUUAUAAUAACAAUAUAUAACGUUUUAUUAAAUACAAAAUUUAUAUAGAACAUAAUAACUUAUUAAGUAUUAACUAAUAAAGUAUUAACGUACACCGCUCUAUUCUCUUACACAUCUCAAACAGGAAUGAAUUUGUAUAUUGCACACUUAUUCGUUCAAUACAUACGCGAUGCGUUCGUCUCAUGGCGUUUUCCUUUCGUCUUGCUCUCUUUCAUUCCUCGCUCGUACAAUACAGAUGUACACACAUCUAUUUUCUAACAAAUCUAAAGAAAGUUACUGGCGACAAAUGUUCUAACAUUAUGGACGCUUCUAUUUAGCGAUAUUAUUGAGAUAUGUGUACUUUUGUGUGCUACACUGGAUUAGCCGCGUGAAGUGACACACAUAUAUGAGUAUGAGUGUGUGGAAGUAUGUGCGUGCGCAGCAUCUCGUAAAACAGAAGAAUGCAAUGUUUCGUACGUAUGGUGGCAGAAAAAGAUGGCGUGAGAAAAGGAGUGCUGAGACGCGUACAAUGUUUAUCUAUCUAGUGUCUUCGACUAAGAUCCACGAUUCUCAACAGAUAUUAUGACCGAAUGGCAAAUUCGUGUCAGAGGAGAAACUUAACCUUUCGCACUCGAGGACUUCUUUGGUCGAGCGUAGCAGCUACUUUGGAUGAUUUAGCGUUUUAAAACCAAGUUCAUUUUUAUUUGAGCUAAUUUCACUUCUGAAAAUCAUUUUUUGAGGAUUUCUAAACUAUAAUACUUUCGCCAUAAUUCGGACGGAUAUGGGAUAAAAUAUUUUAUCUCCAUUUUUAAAGUCUAACACUUUACACUUCUUAACAAAGAACAUAAAGAGGUAAGCAAUCAAUUUACGAAGCAAUGUUGCACUCACUAAUUGGAGAUGUCGAAAUCUAGCAUAAAGAGACUGUCACCUCUGAAGUACAACACCGUCUCUC